rnacentral:rRNA from 1 species
GNNAUUGGUCAUGGACGCAAGUCUGACCAGCCAUGCCGCGUGGAGGAUGAAGGUCCUCUGGAUUGUAAACUUCUUUUAUCUGGGAAGAAACCCAUGGUUUCUACUGUGGUUGACGGUACCAGAUGAAUAAGCACCGGCUAACUCCGUGCCAGCAGCCGCGGUAAUACNGGAGGGUGCAAGCGUUAUCCGGAUUCACNUGGGUUUAAAGGGUGCGUAGGUGGGCAGGUAAGUCAGUGGUGAAAUCUCCGGGCUUAACCCGGAAACUGCCGUUGAUACUACCUGUCUUGAAUGUCGUGGAGGUGAGCAGAAUAUGUCAUGUAGCGGUGAAAUGCUUAGAUAUGACAUAGAAUACCCAUUGCGAAGGCAGCUCACUACACGAUGAUUGACGCUGAGGCACGAAAGCGUGGGGAGCAAACAGGAUUAGAUACCCUGGUAGUCCACGCCCUAAACGAUGAUCACUCGACAUCAGCGAUACACUGUUGGUGUCUGAGCGAAAGCAUUAAGUGAUCCACCUGGGAAGUACGACCGCAAGGUUGAAACUCAAAGAAAUUGACGGA